rnacentral:rRNA from 1 species
GACGAACGCUGGCGGCGUGCUUAACACAUGCAAGUCGAACGGAAAGGCCCUGCUUUUGUGGGGUGCUCGAGUGGCGAACGGGUGAGUAACACGUGAGUAACCUGCCCUUGACUUUGUGAUAACUUCAGGAAACUGGGGCUAAUACCGGAUAUGAGCUCCUGCUGCAUGGUGGGGGUUGGAAAGUUUCGGCGGUUGGGGAUGGACUCGCGGCUUAUCAGCUUGUUGGUGGGGUAGUGGCUUACCAAGGGUUUGACGGGUAGCCGGCCUGAGAGGGGGACCGGGCACAUUGCGACUGAGAGACGGAGCAGACUGCUACGUGAGGCAGCAGUGGGGAAUAUGGCAGAAUGGGCGGAAGCCUGAUGCAGCAACGCCGCGUGCGGGAUGACGGCCUUCGGGUUGUAAACCGCUUUCGCCUGUGACGAAGCGUGAGUGACGGUAAUGGGUAAAGAAGCACCGGCUAACUACGUG